GACGAACGCUGGCGGCGUGCUUAACACAUGCAAGUCGAACGGAAAGGCCCUGCUUUUGUGGGGUGCUCGAGUGGCGAACGGGUGAGUAACACGUGAGUAACCUGCCCUUGACUUUGGGAUAACUUCAGGAAACUGGGGCUAAUACCGGAUAGGAGCUCCUGCUGCAUGGUGGGGGUUGGAAAGUUUCGGCGGUUGGGGAUGGACUCGCGGCUUAUCAGCUUGUUGGUGGGGUAGUGGCUUACCAAGGCUUGGACGGGUAGCCGGCCUGAGAGGGUGACCGGCCACAUUGGGCCUGAGAUACGGCCCAGACUCCUACGGGAGGCAGCAGUGGGGAAGAUUACACAAUGGGCGGAAGCCUGAUGCAGCAACGCCGCGUGCGGGAUGACGGCCUUCGGGUUGUAAACCGCUUUCGCCUGUGACGAAGCGUGAGUGACGGUAAUGGGUAAAGAAGCACCGGCUAACUACGUG
rnacentral:rRNA from 1 species